UUGUUUUUAAAUUAGAGCAUCUAGAAUGGGUAUUUUUUUAUUUAAAUUAGUUGUGUUUCUUUGCUUUCAUAUUGACCAUUAGAUUCGAUUGAUCAAUGGUUCAUGCUUGCAAUCCAUGUAAUUUUUGUUUCAACCAAUCAAAAAAUAGGAAUAAAUUAAAAAUAAGAAAAGGAAUAGAAGGAUAUCUCUCUCCUCUCUCUCACUUUUCAAAAGAGGACAAAAAAAAUAAAAAUCUCUCCUUCCAAAAAAGGGACUCUCAACGUCUCUCUUGAGGAUCUCAUUAAGAGAUCCCUCUCUCUGAAAACAAAAAGACAAAAAAAUAAAAAUAAAUAAAUAAGCGAAACAGUCUUUCCUCUUCUUCAUUCGUCAAACCCUAGCCGCCACACCCUUCAUCUUACUCUCCUCUUGACCUAGCCGCCGCACCCUUCAUCAUCUUCCACACAGUCACC
rnacentral:lncRNA from 1 species